rnacentral:rRNA from 1 species
GACAGAGGGUGCAAACGUUGUUCGGAAUUACUGGGCGUAAAGCGCGUGUAGGCGGCUCUGUAAGUCGGGUGUGAAAUCCCACGGCUCAACCGUGGAAGUGCACUCGAAACUACAGGGCUAGAGUCCUGGAGAGGAAGGUGGAAUGCUUGGUGUAGAGGUGAAAUUCGUAGAUAUCAAGCGGAACACCGGGUGGCGAAGGCGGCCUUCUGGACAGUGACUG